rnacentral:SRP_RNA from 1 species
GCCAUGGUGGCACCCACCUGUAGUCUCAUCUACUUGAAAGACUGAGGUUGGAGGAUUGCUUGAGCCCAGUUCUGGGCUGUAAUGCCUUAUGUAUGCCCAUCAGCAUUGACACUGGAACUGGGGCCUACCAGGUUGCCUAAGGAGAAAUGAAAGCACCCAGAUGGGAAACAGCAGGUAAAAAGUCCCAUGAUGAUUUGUAGUGGGAUCAUGCCUGUGAAUAGCCACUGCACUCCAGCCUGAGCAACAUAGGGAGACCCAUCUCU